rnacentral:rRNA from 1 species
GAUCCUGGCUCAGGAUGAACGCUAGCUACAGGCCUAACACAUGCAAGUCGAGGGGCAUCAGGGAGAAAGCUUGCUUCUUGCUGGCGACCGGCGCACGGGUGAGUAACGCGUAUCCAACCUUCCCCCCAGUAGGGCAUAGCCCGGCGAAAGUCGGAUUAAUACCCUAUGUUGUGUCAUGAGGACAUCUGAAUAACACCAAAGAUUUAUCGCUGGGGGAUGGGGAUGCGUCCGAUUAGGUUGUUGGCGGGGUAACGGCCCACCAAGCCCGCGAUCGGUAGGGGUUCUGAGAGGAAGGUCCCCCACACUGGUACUGAGACACGGACCAGACUCCUACGGGAGGCAGCAGUGAGGAAUAUUGGUCAAUGGGCGAGAGCCUGAACCAGCCAAGUAAGCGUGCAGGACGACGGCCCUAUGGGUUGUAAACUGCUUUUAUGCGGGGAUAAAGUGACGUACGUGUACGUUUUUGUAGGUACCGCAUGAAUAAGGACCGGCUAAUUCCGUGCCAGCCGCCGC